rnacentral:rRNA from 1 species
UACAGAGGUCCCAAGCGUUGUUCGGAUUCAUUGGGCGUAAAGGGUGCGUAGGCGGCGCGGUAGGUCGGGUGUGAAAUCUCGGGGCUUAACUCCGAAACUGCAUUCGAUACUGCCGUGCUUGAGGACUGGAGAGGAGACUGGAAUUUACGGUGUAGCGGUGAAAUGCGUAGAUAUCGUAAGGAAGACCAGUGGCGAAGGCGGGUCUCUGGACAGUUCCUGACGCUGAGGCACGAAGGCCAGGGGAGCAAACGGG